GGAUCUCUGCUAGUGCAGUGGUUAGCACGCGCUCCCGGAGAGGAUGAGACUCGGGUUUCAAGUCCCGCCGAAGUUCA